CGCCCAGAUUGAACGCUGGCGGGAUGCUUUACACAUGCAAGUCGAACGGCAGCACGGACUUCGGUCUGGUGGCGAGUGGCGAACGGGUGAGUAAUGCACUGAACGUGCCUAGUAGCGGGGGAUAACCAUGCGAAAGCGUAGCUAAUACCGCAUACGCCCUUCGGGGGAAAGCGGGGGACCUUCGGGCCUUCACUAUUAGAGCUAUUGAUAUCGGAUUAGCUAGUUGCGGGGUAACGGCUCACCACAAGGCGACGAUCCGUAGCUGGUUUGAGGACGACCAGCCACACUGGGACUGAGACACGGCCCAGACUCUACGGAGGCAGCAGUGGGGAAUUUUGGACAAUGGGGAAACCCUGAUCCAGCCAUCCCGCGUGUGCUAAGGAAGGCCUUCGGGUUAGAAGCACUUUUGGCAGGAAAGAAACGGCACGGAUAAUACCCCGUGUGCAACUGACGGUACCUGAGAAUAAGCACCGGCUAACCCAUGCCAGCAGCCGCGGUAAUACGUAGGGUGCAAGCGUUAAUCGGAAUUACCGGGCGCAAAGCGCACAGCGUCUGGAAAGAAAGAUGUGAAAUCCUGAGCUUAACUUGGAACUGCAUUUUUAACUACCGAGCUAGAGUGUGUCAGAGGGAGGUGGAAUUCCGCGUAGCAGUGAAAUGCGUAGAUAUGGAGGAAACUACCGAUGGCGAAGGCAGCCUUCUGGGAUAAACAUCGACGCUCAUGCAGAAAGCGUGGGGAGCAAACAGGAUUAGAUACCCUGGUAGUCCACGCUCUAAACGAUGUCAACGAAGGUUGGGGCUCGGGCCUUGGUAGCGCAGCUAACGCGUGAAGUUGACUCGCCCACGGGGAGUACGGUCGGCGGAUUAAAACUCAAAGGAAUUGACGGGGACUCCGCACAAGCGGUGGAUGAUGUGGAUUAAUUCGAUGCAACGCGAAAACCUUACCUACCCUUGACAUGUCUGGAAUCCCGAAGAGAUUUGGGAGUGCUCGUAAGAGAACCGGAACACAGGUGCUGCAUGGCUGUCGUCAGCUCGUGUCGUGAGAUGUUGGGUUAAGUCCCGCAACGAGCGCAACUCGUCAUUAGUUGUUACGAAAGGGCACUCUAAUGAGACUGCCGGUGACAAACCGGAGGGGAAGGUGGGGAUGACGUCAAGUCCUUUUUGGCCCCAGGGUAGGGCUUCACACGUCAUACAAUACCGGGACAGAGGUCGCCAACCCGCGAGGGGGAGCCAAUCCCAGAAACCCGAUCGUAGUCCGGAUCGCAGUCUGCAACUCGGACUGCGUGAAGUCGGAAUCGCUAGUAAUCGCGGAUCAGCAUGUCGCGUAAACAUGCCCUGUCUUGUACACACCGCCCGUCACACCAUGGGGAGUGGGUUUUACCAGAAGUAGUUAGCCUUAACCGUAAGGAGGGCGAUUACUAAUGGUAGGAUUCAUGACUGGGGUGAAGUCGUAACAAGGUAG
rnacentral:rRNA from 1 species